GUUCAUAAGAGUCCUUUAGCUACGGGCAACAGCAUCGGCAAACUCACAGAUAAAAAGAGAGCGAUAAAUAUAUAUUUCUAUCUAUCUGCCAAUACACAUGUACAAAUAUGUAUACAUAUAUGUAUAACGGAAUGAAAUGAAUGUGUGCGUGCGACCGUGUAUGUGCGUGCAUAUGCACGACCGACAACAUCGGUUGCGGGUUUUAAAAAACAAAACACCGUAACAUUGAUGGCACAAAUGCUUGCGUUGUGGUUGCGGUUGUUGCUUUCGCAAGUAAGCGCGUUUGCAUUUUACCAGAUAAUCCAUAACAAAGCGUGUAAGACAUAAAAGUGAAAAUAUAAUGAAAGUAUUAUUAUUACCAAAGUUCGCUGAAUUGUUUUUGACUUAAAGCAAAAAGACAAAAGAAAAAAUUUACGUACUCUAAAGAAAAGAGAGAAAAAAUGUUCAUCAUACGCACGGGGUAUGACUUGAUCAUUAUUUAAAUAUUUUUAGCCGCUGCAAUGCAUAGAAAUGUGAACUUAAAAAUAUUCAUCAUACGCACUGUUCAAAUGUAAAUAUAUACUAAAAUGUGUAACCAAUGGAGUGCUUCCAAAUGCUUAUACGCACUGCUUACUCUUUAAUAUUGUUGUGUAAUAUUUUAGACAACAAAAAUUUACUCAUAAUGAUAUGCAAAUAUAUGAACUACUGAUGUAACGUUUUUUUUUGCACCUGUUUUUAUGAACUUAGCAAAAAAAAAAAAAAAAUGAUAUAUAAAAAAAUUAUAUUCAAUGUGAAGCAAUCCAUUAAAAACAGUUACUGUCAGGAAUAUUUGAUAAAUGUUUGCUGAAGAAGAUGAAAAAAGUAGUGAACUUUGAUAAUAUAACAUAUUAGCAUAAAAUAACAACAACAACAACAACAACGAUAGCACCAUGACGAUGCAAUAAAA